rnacentral:snoRNA from 1 species
CCGCCCUGUGCCUCGCUCGACUUAGAUUAACCCACUCUAAGUCUUGAGCUGGAUGACUCGAUGCUUUUCAACUAAAUCUGAUUUGCAUCCUGUUAAUGGGCUAGAGGAAAAUAAGACUUCUUUGAGUACGAAGGUACCGCUUAACUUUCACGGUACUACUUUGUAAUUAGACAGUCUGACAGAU